UUAAAACAGAAAUCAUAUAAAUACCAAUAAAUGAGGAAGCGAUUAAAAUAAAUUCGAUCUCACAGUAAUUGCAGAACCAAAUCUUCAGUUGUCCCUUGACUAGAAUUAGAAGGUUAGUCUCCCAUUAAUGGAGAACAACCAUGCGCAAAAGCUAUCUGAAUCUUACAAAAUUGUUCCUGGCCAAAUCGGCCAACUAGCCAAGGAAAAGUAAUAAGAACAAAGUAAUUGUGCUCUUUUAUUUCUCCCGUGAAAAGAAGAUCCGAAUUUGUUGCUAGCUCCCGUCUUUAUCACGCGGGAUCCGUCCUUUUUUCCUCUUCAAAGUCGGCUGGCCUUCCUUCCUUUUCUCCCUAAUUCCUUACAAAGACAUACGAAAGUCUCUUUCCUUCCAUCAAACUCAAGCUAGAAAGACUUCCUAAUAGUCUAGAAUCCUAGUCUAUAUGACCCUUCCUAAUCUAAUAGAUUUUCCUAAUAAAAAAAAUAGUUUUCUCAUAGUACUCAACUACUAAAUAGAAAAAGGCAAUAAUUAUUCCAGCAUAGCCUCGGACUUGGAAUCGACAAUUCUUUGGAAACUGCCUCGUGCGCGUGAGAUCUCGAAUCUUCUAGACUUGAAUGUAGGUCCCGAACGUGCCUCCACUAAAUUAGAUGGAAAUUGUCCCUUUUAAUCAUGUUUUGGUUAUUUUUCCUACAAUUAGCACUAUUAACCAAAUAUAAGUAGAAUCCAUCAAUUAAUACAAUAUUUGGCUAAAAUAAAAGGGAAAAAUAAUUAUAAAUGUAGUAACAAAUUAUAACCUAUCAAUUUCCCCCACACCUAAACCAUGCUCGUCCUCAAGCAUGAGAACAACAAAUCAAACAAAUAAAAUCAAACAAUGGCUAUUGUUCAAAUCUUCUAUUGCCAAGAUACAAUUAAAACAUAUGUCAAGUAUUAGUGGUAAUUUUUCAAGCAAUAUCUCUCCAGUUAGCUUUCAAGAUUAAGGACUCUUCUAAUUUAUGACUAACUAGUCUAAGAAUAUAAAAUAUUCAACCAGCAUCCAUAAGCAAAUGGUUCGACUAUUAAGCAAAAUCUCAACAUUAAAAUUCAAGGAUCAGCGGGCUAACAAUUCAUUCAUAUUUUUCACUAUUAGCACUUUUUUUUUUUUAGAAUAUCCCCACUUGAUUGAUUUUUUUUUGUUUUGUUUUAGGGGGAAUGCUUGGUCUUUAGCCAUUUAAGCGUUUUGACGCGAACUCCGACAUUGGCCAAAUGAAGGAACCCGGUUACUCAAUUUUUAUCGCUAAAAGACCACAUACUCAUAGUUAUCAUCGCUUUUUGACGCGAAAGUUAACAUUUGUGAUGAAGACCUCUGGUUACUAGGCAACGAUACUAGCCGAGUAUAGCUGAAUACUAUUCAAAAAUAAGCAUCAAAUUAAAAUUAAUAAUCACACAAAUCCGCUUUAUUUCUUAAACAUGGAGAACUAAGAUUAAUAGUUGAACCAAUUUGCAUAAAAAAAUGCUAGAUAAAUAUUUACAAUACUUAGAGAAAUUAACCAAAAAGUGUAAAAGUCACAAAAUCUCAAAUAUUCACCAAAGAGAUACCCUUAAACUUAACCAUGUCAUACUUAACACCUUAAAGUGUAAAAUCUUAGCAAUAGAAAAAUUUGAGACAUCUAACCAUCAUUUAUCAAGAAUAAUCACAAAUAUGCACAAAGAUAGGCAAAAAUUGGAUAAAAUUCAACAAAGUCAAACAAAAAAUUCCAACAAAAAUACCUACACUUGCACUUUUUCAAUAAAAUACCAAUAUAAUACUCCCCCCCACACCUAAAUCUUGCAUUGUCCCCAAUGUAAGCACUAAAGAAUAAAAUUCAAAGCAAAAGGGACAACGAAACUUCCCUGAUCAUCAAAGGGGGGUUGUGGCACAACUGUAGGUGAGAGGCAAAAGACAUGUAGAGCUCGAUGGCAAAAUUGAUGACGAUGAAGGCUAUGAUCGGCAGCUAAGGAUGUUAGAUGGCUCACGAUAGAUGAGGAAGAAUUAUGCGCGAUGAGCAGCGAUAAUCAGGAACCAACGACCCACGUUAAACAACGCAACGGUGGCGGUGGAAUUUGAGGUCCUUUGGUUGCGGUCUUGCGGCUGGAAAAGAAAAGAAAGGAAUAAAAAGGAAAGGGAGAGUAGAAGAAAAGAGAGAAAGAAAGAAAGAAAAAGAAAAGAAAGGAAAUUUUUAUUUUUUAAACCACUGCAUUAGAUGUGGGCACGCCUAACUGCCCUUGAAUCUUCUGUCCAACCCACGGAAAUAAAGCUCCUUAAGCGUGACCACUUGGCGUGGGCACGCCUAACUACUAGAGAGUUUUCUGACCAUUUUUCAGAAAUUGAGUUCCUUAGACGUGACCACUUGGCGUGGGUACGCCUAACGACUAUAGAGUCUUCUGACCGCAGACGAAAAUUUCCUCCCUUAAGCGUGACCAUCUGGCGUGGGCACGCCUAACUGCUGGGUAGUCUUCUGUCCGCCAAAUUAAAACUUCCUUCCUUAGGCGUGACCAAUUGGCGUGGGCACGUCUAAUUGCCAACUUCCUGCCACAAUAGCAACAAAUCACUAAAUGCAACUAACACUUAAAAAAAACUCUAAAAACAUAAGAAAAUUAAAACAAAAGCCUUGGGUUGCCUCCCAAGCAGCACCUUUUUUUAAAGUCUUUGGCUAGACAUUUUCAUGUUUAUUCAUGGAGGAUAAAAUCGUGCAGCUCGUUUCAGUGCUUCAUCUUCUAUGUAGUCCUGAUAUCCCUCGUAAAUAGAGUAAUCCUUGAGCCCACGAGGUACGGUCUUCUAUGGAUUAGUAGAUGGCGUCAAACAAACAAGUGAUGGCGUUAAAUCUUCACUCACUCCUCCAUCACGAGCACUUAUUGGUUCGAGAUAUUUUGCCAUCGCAACUCUUAACUUAUUCCUGUCAUGAAAUUUAAAAUCUUCUGGUAUAAUAAAAUCAAUUUCACUAACAGGAAUUGAAAAAUAAGAGUUAGAAAAAUAUUGAUUAAGGAAUGGAGGAGAUGUCACCGCAUUUGGAGAUUGUUCACUGGAUUCAUUCACUUGGACCAUUUGAUGCUGAGGUCUCAUAUCUUGCACUUCAACUUUCUUUUCAACUGCAUCUUUAGAUCCUUCUUCUUGAGAUUUUUGCAGUACCAUGUCAUUUGUCAGGAUAAUUACACCCUCAUCUUCUUCAUGGUCGAUAAUAGUUGCUGAGGGCAAUUCUUCACUCAUUCGAGAAGUCAAUUGCGUUAUCCUAGAUGUCAAUUGAUCCAUUUGAUCUGCCAGGUUACGCAUGCUCGCUUGUGUCUCUGAUGAAAGUUCAUUGUCACCUGUUGAAGUAGAUGUGUCUCCUGUUGAAUUUGAUAUGUCUUAGUAGCUAUUAAUUCAACUAUUUCUUCAAGAGACGUACCUGACAUGGAUGACGGUUCUUGAGACUCUAAUUGUUGAAAAUCUAUUAGCCUUUGCUCAUAAUUAAAAUUGGAAUCAUCCCACCAUCCUCCCUCAUACCCAUUUGGAUAAGGGUCAUACCACGUUUGAUAUUGAGGUGAAAAAUUUCCACAAGUAUUUAUUGGAGCACUUAGACCAUUUUGAAAUGCAGAGCACAUGUCGGUUGCAUGAUUUGAGACAAAAUAAGUUCCGCAAUUUGCAACAGCCCAUUGAUCAUCAGAUAAAACACGAGUCUCAUAACCCCUUCUAGAAAUAAAAUCCAAUCUAUCACCAAAAUACGGAAAGUUAGCAGCCAUAACUAUAUAUUAAAAAAAAAGAGAAAAAUAAUAAAAAUAAUAAAAAUAAAAAUAAGAUGAACUCAAAAAGAAACAAAUUAAUCAAGCACCAGUCCCCGGCAACGGCGCCAAAAAUUGACAGGUGUCGAACCUGCACAUUAAUAAAUACCUACUCGAAAAAAAUACAGAUUUUGUAUAUAGCGGUGAGUAGGGUCGAAUCCACAGGGAUUAGGAUAAUUCGUUUCAUCUAGAAUUCAAAGUAUGGGGGGUUUUUGGAUUAAAUGCUAACUAAAUAAAUUAAAUGCAGAAAAUAGUUAAUUAAAAGAAAUAAUUAGAGAAACUCUAGCCAAGGGUAUACUUCAGAAAUGGUUCAUGCACUGAUCAUCGAUUCACAGAUAAUUCCACAUUUAUUAAUAGAUUGGUUAUAGUUGUCAUAAACGCGAUAAACAACCAACCUUUCCUUACUUUCUCGAUAGUUAAGGUACGACCGUUAACUAUUUCUCUAACCCAAAAACAACCCUUGGUACGACCGUAGGAUUUAAUUUCUAGCUUGCAUUAAGAAUUAGAAAGGCCCAAUCCUAACUAACAAACACGCUACGAGGGUUUGUUUAAGUUAGAUCGUAUGUUUCCCUGACAUAAACCCAAUUACGCCUGUUGCUACUAGGAUAGAGAUAACGAACAAUUACAGAUUCAAUUACCCCUAUUUAGCAAAAUGGCCUAUAUGAAUAAUUAAUUAUUGCGCACUAAUCAAUCAUACACAAGAGGUAUAACAAUUAAAAACAGGAAUCAUAUAAAUACCAAUAAAUAAGGAAGCGAUUAAAAUAAAUUCGAUCUCACAGUAAUUGCAGAACCAAAUCUUCAGUUGUCCCUUGACUAGAAUUAGAAGGUUAGUCCCCCAUUAAUGGAGAACAACCAUGCGCAAAAGCUAUCUGAAUCUUACAAAAUUGUUCCUGGCCAAAUCGGCCAACUAGCCAAGGAAAAGUAAUAAGAACAAAAUAAUUGUGCUCUUUUAUUUCUCCCGUGAAAAGAAGAUCCGAAUUUGUUGCUAGCUCCCGUCUUUAUCACGCGGGAUCCGUCCUUUUUUCCUCUUCAAAGUCGGCUGGCCUUCCUUCCUUUUCUCCCUAAUUCCUUACAAAGACAUACGAAAGUCUCUUUCCUUCCGUCAAACUCAAGCUAAAAGACUUCCUAAUAGUCUAGAAUCCUAGUCUAUAUGACCCUUCCUAAUCUAAUAGAUUUUCCUAAUAAAAAAAUAGUUUUCUCAUAGUACUCAACUACUAAAUAGAAAAAGACAAUAAUUAUUCCAGCAUAGCCUCGAACUUGGAAUCGACAAUUCUUUGGAAACUACCUCGUGCGCGUGAGAUCUCGAAUCUUCUGGACUUGAAUGUAGGUCCCGAACGUGCCUCCACUAAAUUAGAUGGAAAUUGUCCCUUUUAAUCAUGUUUUGGUUAUUUUUCCUACAAUUAGCACUAUUAACCAAAUAUAAGUAGAAUCCAUCAAUUAAUACAAUAUUUGGCUAAAAUAAAAGGGAAAAAUAAUUAUAAAUGUAGUAACAAAUUAUAACUUAUCAAUUUCCCCCACACCUAAACCAUGCUUGUCCUCAAGCAUGAGAACAACAAAUCAAACAAAUAAAAUCAAACAAUGGCUAUUGUUCAAAUCUUCUAUUGCCAAGAUACAAUUAAAACAUAUGUCAAGUAUUAGUGGUAAUUUUUCAAGCAAUAUCUCUCCAGUUAGCUUUCAAGAUUAAGGACUCUUCUAAUUUAUGACUUACUAGUCUAAGAAUAUAAAAUAUUCAACCAGCAUCCAUAAGCAAAUGGUUCGACUAUUAAGCAAAAUCUCAACAUUAAAAUUCAAGGAUCAGCGGGCUAACAAUUCAUUCAUAUUUUUCACUAUUAGCACUUUUUUUUUUUUAGAAUAUCCCCACUUGAUUGAUUUUUUUUUGUUUUGUUUUAGGGGGAAUGCUUGGUCUUUAGCCAUUUAAGCGUUUUGACGCGAACUCCGACAUUGGCCAAAUGAAGGAACCCGGUUACUCAAUUUUUAUCGCUAAAAGACCACAUACUCAUAGUUAUCAUCGCUUUUUGACGCGAAAGUUAACAUUUGUGAUGAAGACCUCCGGUUACUAGGCAACGAUACUAGCGGAGUAUAGCUGAAUACUAUUCAAAAAUAAGCAUCAAAUUAAAAUUAAUAAUCACACAAACCCGCUUUAUUUCUUAAACAUGAAGAACUAAGAUUAAUAGUUGAACCAAUUUGCAUAAAAAAAUGCUAGAUAAAUAUUUACAAUACUUAGAGAAAUUAACCAAAAAGUGUAAAAGUCACAAAAUCUCAAAUAUUCACCAAAGAGAUACCCUUAAACUUAACCAUGUCAUACUUAACACCUUAAAGUGUAAAAUCUUAGCAAUAGAAAAAUUUGAGACAUCUAACCAUCAUUUAUCAAGAAUAAUCACAAAUAUGCACAAAGAUAGGCAAAAAUUGGAUAAAAUUCAACAAAGUCAAUCAAAAAAUUCCAACAAAAAUACCUACACUUGCACUUUUUCAAUAAAAUACCAAUAUAAUACUCCCCGCCAUACCUAAAUCUUGCAUUGUCCCCAAUGUAAGCACUAAAGAAUAAAAUUCAAAGCAAAAAGGGACAACGAAACUUCCCUGAUCAUCAAAGGGGGGUUGUGGCACAACUGUAGGUGAGAGGCAAAAGACAUGUAGAGCUCGAUGGCAAAACUGAUGACGAUGAAGGCUAUGAUCUGCAGCUAAGGAUGUUAGGUGGUUCACGAUAGAUGAGGAAGAAUUAUACGCGAUGAGCAGCGAUAAUCAGGAACCGACGACCCAUGUUAAACAACGCAACGGUGGCGGUGGAAUUUGAGGUCCUUUGGUUGCGGUCUUGCGGCUGGAAAAGAAAAGAAAGGAAUAAAAAGGAAAGGGAGAGAAGAAGAAAAGAGAGAAAGAAAGAAAGAAAAAGAAAAGAAAGGAAAUUUUUUUUUUUGAAACCACUGCAUUAGAUGUGGGCACGCCUAACUGCCCUUGAAUCUUCUGACCAACCCACGGAAAUCAAGCUCCUUAAGCGUGACCACUUGGCGUGGGCACGCCUAACUACUAGAGAGUCUUCUGACCAUUUUUCAGAAAUUGAGUUCCUUAGGCGUGACCACUUGGCGUGGGUACGCCUAACUACUAUAGAGUCUUCUGACCGCAGACUAAAAUUGCCUCCCUUAAGCGUGACCAUCCGGCAUGGGCAUGCCUAACUGCUGGGUAGUCUUCUGUCCGCCAAAUUAAAACUUCCUUCCUUAGACGUGACCAACUAGCGUGGGCACGUCUAACUGCCAACUUCCUGCCACAAAAGCAACAAAUCAUUAAAUGCAACUAACACUUAAAAAAAACUCUAAAAACAUAUGAAAAUUAAAACAAAAGCCUUGGUUUGCCUCCCAAGCAGCGCCUUUCUUUAAUGUCUUUGGCUAGACAUUUUCAUGUUUAUUCAUGGAGGAUAAAAUCGUGCAACUCGUUUCAGUGCUUCAUCUUCUCUGUAAUCCUGAUAUCCCUCGUAAAUAGAGUAAUCCUUGAGCCCACGAGGUACGGUCUUCUAUGGAUUAGUAGAUGGCGUCAAACAAACAAGUGAUGGCGUUAAAUCUUCACUCACUCUUCCAUCACGAGCACUUAUUGGUUCGAGAUAUUUUGCCAUCGCAACUCUUAACUUAUUCCUGUCAUGAAAUUUAAAAUCUUCUGGUAUAAUAAAAUCAAUUUCACUAACAGGAAUUGAAAAAUAAGAGUUAGAAAAAUAUUGAUUAAGGAAUGGAGGAGAUGUCACCGCAUUUGGAGAUUGUUCACUGGAUUCAUUCACUUGGACCAUUUGAUGCUGAGGUCUCAUAUCUUGCACUUCAACUUUCUUUUCAACUGCAUCUUUAGAUCCUUCUUCUUGAGAUUUUUGCAGUACCAUGUCAUUUGUCAGGAUAAUUACACCCUCAUCUUCUUCAUGGUCGAUAAUAGUUGCUGAGGGCAAUUCUUCACUCAUUCGAGAAGUCAAUUGCGUUAUCUUAGAUGUCAAUUGAUCCAUUUGAUCUGCCAGGUUACGCAUGCUCGCUUGUGUCUCUGAUGAAAGUUCAUUGUCACCUGUUGAAGUAGAUGUGUCUCCUGUUGAAUUUGAUAUGUGUUAGUAGCUAUUAAUUCAACUAUUUCUUCAAGAGACGUACCUGACAUGGAUGACGGUUCUUGAGACUCUAAUUGUUGAAAAUCUAUUAGCCUUUGCUCAUAAUUAAAAUUGGAAUCAUCCCACCAUCCUCCCUCAUACCCAUUUGGAUAAGGGUCAUACCACGUUUGAUAUUGAGGUGAAAAAUUUCCACAAGUAUUUAUUGGAGCACUUAGACCAUUUUGAAAUGCAGAGCACAUGUCGGUUGCAUGAUUUGAGACAAAAUAAGUUCCACAAUUUGCAACAGCCCAUUGAUCAUCAGAUAAAACACGAGUCUCAUAACCCCUUCUAGAAAUAAAAUCCAAUCUAUCACCAAAAUACGGAAAGUUAGCAGCCAUAACUAUAUAUUAAAAAAAUAAGAGAAAAAUAAUAAAAAUAAAAAUAAGAUGAACUAAAAAAGAAACAAAUUAAUCAAACACCAGUCCCCGGCAACGGCGCCAAAAAUUGACAGGUGUCGAACGUGCACAAUAAUAAAUACCUACUCGAAAAAAAUACAGAUUUUGUAUAUAGCGGUGAGUAGAGUCGAAUCCACAGGGAUUGUGGAUAAUUCGUUUCUUUUAGAAUUCAAAGUAUGGGGGGUUUUUGGAUUAAAUGCUAACUAAAUAAAUUAAAUGCAGAAAAUAGUUAAUUAAAAGAAAUAAUUAGAGAAACUCUAACCAAGGGUACACUUCAGAAAUGGUUCAUGCACUGAUCAUCGAUUCACAGAUAAUUCCACAUUUAUUAAUAGAUUGGUUAUAGUUGUCAUACACGCGAUAAACAACCAACCUUUCCUUACUUUCUCGAUAGUUAAGGUACGACCGUUAACUAUUUCUCUAACCCAAAAACAACCCUAGGUACGACCGUAGGAUUUAAUUUCUAGCUUGUAUUAAGAAUUAGAAAGGCCUGAUCCUAACUAACAAACACGCUACGAGGGUUUGUUUAAAUUAGAUCGUAUGUUUCCCUGACAUAAACCCAAUUACGCCAGUUGCUACUGGGAUAGAGAUAACGAACAAUUACGGAUUCAAUUACCCCUAUUUAGCAAAAUAGCUUAUAUGAAUAAUUAAUUAUUGCGCACUAAUCAAUCAUACACAAGAGCUAUAACAAUUAAAAACAGGAAUCAUAUAAAUACCAAUAAAUGAGGAAGCGAUUAAAAUAAAUUCGAUCUCACGGUAAUUGCAGAACCAAAUCUUCAGUUGUCCCUUUACUAGAAUUAGAAGGUUAGUCCCCCAUUAAUGGAGAACAACCAUGCGCAAAAGGUAUCUGAAUCUUACAAAAUUGUUCCUGGCCAAAUCAGCCAACUAGCCAAGGAAAAGUAAUAAGAACAAAGUAAUUGUGCUCUUUUAUUUCUCCCGUGAAAAGAAGAUCCGAAUUUGUUGCUAGCUCCCGUCUUUAUCACGCGGGAUCCGUCCUUUUUUCCUCUUCAAAGUCGGCUGGCCUUCCUUCCUUUUCUCCCUAAUUCCUUACAAAGACAUGCGAAAGUCCCUUUCCUUCCGUCAAACUCAAGCUAGAAAGACUUCCUAAUAGUCUAGAAUCCUAGUCUGUAUGACCCUUCCUAAUCUAAUAGAUUUUCCUAAUAAAAAAAUAGUUUUCUCAUAGUACUCAACUACUAAAUAGAAAAAGGCAAUAAUUAUUCCAGCAUAGCCUCGGACUUGGAAUCGACAAUUCUUUGGAAACUGCCUCGUGCGCGUGAGAUCUCGAAUCUUCUGGACUUGAAUGUAGGUCCCGAACGUGCCUUCACUAAAUUAGAUGGAAAUUGGCCCUUUUAAUCAUGUUUUGGUUAUUUUUCCUACAAUUAGCACCAUUAACCAAAUAUAAGUAGAAUCCAUCAAUUAAUACAAUAUUUGGCUAAAAU
rnacentral:lncRNA from 1 species